GUACUAGCUUCGACGGUAUAUGUACUAUAAUUGGAACGAUCCAGAGAAGAUUGGUGUGGCCCCUGAGCAUGGAUGUCACACGAGAACUUAAUAUUUUCUUUUU